UACGAAGGGGGCUAGCGUUGCUCGGAAUCACUGGGCGUAAAGGGCGCGUAGGCGGCUGUACAAGUCAAAGGUGAAAUCCCUCGGCUCAACUGAGGAACUGCCUUUGAAACUGUACGGCUUGAGGCCGGGAGGGGGUAGCGGAAUUCCCAGUGUAGCGGUGAGGUGCGUAGAUACUGGGAGGAACACCAGUGGCGAAGGCGGCUACCUGGACCGGUUCUGACGCUGAGGCGCGAAAGCGUGGGUAGCAAACAGG
rnacentral:rRNA from 1 species